rnacentral:lncRNA from 12 species
GAAAGGUGGGAUGCCAGGAGAAGUCAGAUAACUUUUCAUCUGGUCAUCAGAUGAAAAUGGGCCAUUUAAAGCAGGGGCUACGGCUGGCAGUGUGAGAAAGCUCACAUGCAGACCUCUGCAGGAAGACUCAGCCCAUGGAGUUUUAA